ACUCAAAUGAAUAGACGGGGGCCCGCACAAGCAGCGGAGCGUGUGGUUUAAUUCGAUGAUACGCGAAGAACCUUACCUGGGUUUGACAUCGAGGUAGUAGUACGGUGAAAGCCAAGCCACCCUUCGGGGAGCCUCGACAGGUGCUGCAUGGCUGUCGUCAGCUCGUGUCGUGAGAUGUUGGGUUAAGUCCCGCAACGAGCGCAACCCUCGUCGUUAGUUACAUGUGUCUAACGAGACUGCCGGUUUCAAACCGGAGGAAGGUGGGGAUGACGUCAAGUCAGCAUGGUCUUUAUAUCCAGGGCUACACACACGCUACAAUGGCCGGUACAAUGGGCAGCCACACCGUAAGGUGGCGCUAAUCCUCAAAGCCGGUCUCAGUUCAGAUUGUCGUCUGCAACUCGACGGCAUGAAGGCGGAGUUGCUAGUAACCGCGCGUCAGCCAUAGUGCGGUGAAUGCGUUCCCGGGCCUUGUACACACCGCCCGU
rnacentral:rRNA from 1 species